rnacentral:rRNA from 1 species
UACGUAGGGUGCAAGCGUUGUCCGGAAUUAUUGGGCGUAAAGAGCUCGUAGGCGGUCUGUCGCGUCGGAUGUGAAAAUCCAGGGCUCAACCCUGGACCUGCAUUCGAUACGGGCAGACUAGAGUUCGGCAGGGGAGACUGGAAUUCCUGGUGUAGCGGUGAAAUGCGCAGAUAUCAGGAGGAACACCUGAGGUGAAGACGGGUUGCUGGACCAACACUGACGCUGAUGCGCGAAAGCCAGGGGAGCAAACGGG